AACGCAAACAAGACAGACGAGAGACAGUCAGCAGUUGCAGUACGCUCGCACUAGCACGCAACAUCGACAGCAGCCAGCUGAUUAGCUAGCUACCGUUAGCUAGUUAGCAAUUUGUGCAACAUCAAAAAUGUCGGAGGACCUUGAAACCGGCGAAGAUCCAACUGUGGUGAAAAUGGAGGAGGACGGAGAGGCUAGCACCGAAGAACAGACGCCGACGGUUACAGAGGGAGGCCAGGCAGGAGAAUCCGAGGGAUCAAAGAUUGAUGCCAGCAAAAACGAAGAGGAUGAGGGGAAAAUGUUUGUUGGUGGUCUGAGCUGGGACACAACAAAGAAGGAUUUGAAGGAUUACUUCUCCAAGUUUGGGGAGGUGGUAGACUGCACCCUGAAGCUUGACCCCAUGACAGGCCGAUCCCGGGGGUUCGGCUUUGUCCUGUUUAAAGCAGCUAACAGCGUUGAUAAGGUGGUCUUACAGAAGGACCACAAGCUGAAUGGGAAGGUGAUCGACCCUAAGAAGGCCAAGGCCAUGAAGAACAAGGAGCCCAUCAGAAAGGUCUUUGUAGGAGGUCUUUCUCCAGACACUCCAGAGGAGAAGAUCAGAGAAUACUUUGGUGCCUUUGGAGAGGUGGAGUCCAUUGAGCUCCCCAUGGAAACAAAAACCAACAAGAGACGAGGCUUCUGCUUCAUCACCUUCAAAGAGGAGGAGAGAGUGAAGAAGAUCAUGGAGAAAAAGUACCAUAAUAUAGGAUUAAGCAAGUGUGAGAUUAAGGUAGCCAUGUCCAAGGAGCAGUACCAGCAGCAGCACUGGGGGGGAGGAGGCAGAGGGGGAUACCCCUCCAGGCCUCCAGGCAGACAGGGACCCAAUCAGAAUUGGAACCAGGGAUAUGGCAACUACUGGAACCAAGGUUACGGCAACAACUACGGCAAUUAUGGCUACAACAACCAAGGCUACGGUGGCUAUGAUUACUCUGGUUACAACAACUAUUACGGCGGAUAUGGUGACUACAGCACAGACCAGCAGGGUGGUUACGGGAAGUCCCCCAGGCGAGGUGGUCACCAAAACAAUUACAAGCCGUAUUGAUGUAACAGAAGUUCCACACACAGCGGAGCUUCCUUGCAGGCCAUGAGCUGACCUCCCCGGUACUCUCUGGCCCGCUCAAUGCGGACCGGGUACGAGAGGCGUACGCUCUCGAAUGCUGCCAUUUGGAUGGAAGAUUGAAGGAUAUCUUCUGAAGGAGCGUUGGCAGACGAAGUGACAGGUUUCAGUCAAGAGUUUCCUUUAUUAUGGACGGUUUGAGACAGGACAAAGUCAGAGUAUUCAGUUGAUCUACGUACAUUGAAUUUAUGUUCAGUGUUGUAUUUUGUUGUUUCUUGCAAAGCUUUUAAAAGUUUCCUAUUCGUCUUGUAUUGAGUUGUACUGUAUGAAAGGAAUAUAUGCAGAAUUAUAUUUAAGAGUUGAUUAGUCACUUACGCUCAGUGUUAUCCCUUUUGUUAAAUGUGUGUUAUAUUCUACAGUGAGGGAAAAAAGUAUUUGAUCCCCUGCUGAUUUUGUACGUUUGCCCACUGACAAAGAAAUGAU